UACGUAGGGGGCAAGCGUUGUCCGGAAUUAUUGGGCGUAAAGAGCGUGUAGGCGGCCAGAUAAGUCCGCUGUGAAAUCUCGAGGCUCAACUUCGAGCUGUCGGUGGAAACUAUCUGGCUAGAGUCCGGAAGAGGAGAAUGGAAUUCCUGGUGUAGCGGUGAAAUGCGCAGAUAUCAGGAAGAACACCCGUGGCAAAGGCGGUUCUCUGGGACGGUACUGACGCUGGAGACGCGAAAGCGUGGGGAGCGAACAGG
rnacentral:rRNA from 1 species